rnacentral:rRNA from 1 species
CGACGGCCAGCAUUUUUGUAGCCAUAGAAGAGAUGGCGACCGGCGCACGGGUGAGUAACACGUAUCCAACCUACCGAUAACUCCGGGAUAGCCUUUCGAAAGAAAGAUUAAUACCGGAUAGUAUACGAAUAUCGCAUGAUAUUUUUAUUAAAGAAUUUCGGUUAUCGAUGGGGAUGCGUUCCAUUAGUUUGUUGGCGGGGUAACGGCCCACCAAGACUACGAUGGAUAGGGGUUCUGAGAGGAAGGUCCCCCACAUUGGAACUGAGACACGGUCCAAACUCCUACGGGAGGCAGCAGUGAGGAAUAUUGGUCAAUGGACGAGAGUCUGAACCAGCCAAGUAGCGUGAAGGAUGACUGCUCUAUGGGUCGUAAACUUCUUUUAUAUGGGAAUAAAGUAUUCCACGUGUGGAAUUUUGUAUGUACCAUAUGAAUAAGGAUCGGCUAACUCCGUGCCAGCAGCCGCGGUAAUACGGAGGAUCCGAGCGUUAUCCGGAUUUAUUGGGUUUAAAGGGAGCGUAGGUGGAUUGUUAAGUCAGUUGUGAAAGUUUGCGGCUCAACCGUAAAAUUGCAGUUGAAACUGGGAGUCUUGAGUACAGUAGAGGUGGGCGGAAUCGUGGUUAGCGG